CAUUUCUUGACUUCCUGUGUAUACCGCAUUCCACGAAAGAACUCACAAUGGGAAGGAACUCUCGACCUCUCAGGGUUGUGGUAGUGAGGAUCAAUUCUUCAAGGACAAGGACUUGGACUUUCAUUGUUGUGCCCUUAAAAGCUUAUCACAGUGCCUGAUACUUUGUGGAUUCUCAAUAGGUAUUCCUUAGCCAGUAGGUCUUCAGCAUUUGACAGGAAAAUCCUGAGGCCCGUUGUGUGGAAUGACUGCUAGCUAGAGUAACAGUGAGGAGAAAAACCUAUUGUAAAAUGAUUGUUUAAGGCUCUUUUUUUCCUCCCCACAAAGGGAUUUGCUUCCUAAGGAGAAGAACUUGGAAACUCUGUUGACCUUGGCUUUUCUAGAAAUAGAUAAAGCCUUUUCGAGUCAUGCCCGCCUGUCUGCUGAUGCAACUCUUCUGACCUCUGGGACUACUGCAACAGUAGCCCUAUUGCGAGAUGGUAUUGAACUGGUUGUAGCCAGUGUUGGGGACAGCCGGGCUAUUUUGUGUAGAAAAGGAAAACCCAUGAAGCUGACCAUUGACCAUACUCCAGAAAGAAAAGAUGA
rnacentral:lncRNA from 1 species